AACGAACGCUGGCGGCAGGCCUAACACAUGCAAGUCGAGCGCCCUUUCGGGGGAGCGGCGGACGGGUGAGUAACGCGUGGGAAUAUGCCCUUCUCUACGGAAUAGCCUCGGGAAACUGAGAGUAAUACCGUAUACGCCCUGUGGGGAAAAGAUUUACCGGGGAAGGAUUAGCCCGCGUUGGAUUAGGAAGUUGGUGGGGUAAUGGCCUACAAAGCGGACGAUCCAUAGCUGGUUGGAGAGGAUGAUCAGCCACACUGGGACUGAGACACGGCCCAGACUCCUACGGGAGGCAGCAGUGGGGAAUCUUAGACAAUGGGGGCAACCCUGAUCGAGCCAUGCCGCGUGAGUGAUGAAGGCCUUAGGGUUGUAAAGCUCUUUCAGCUGGGAAGAUAAUGACGGUACCAGCAGAAGAAGCCCCGGCUAACUCCGUG
rnacentral:rRNA from 1 species